GAUGAAGAACGUAGCGAAAUGCGAUAAGUAAUGUGAAUUGCAGAAUUCAGUGAAUCAUCGAAUCUUUGAACGCACAUUGCGCCCGCCAGUAUUCUGGCGGGCAUGCCUGUUCGAGCGUCAUUACAACCCUCAGGCCCCCGGGCCUGGCGUUGGGGAUCGGCGGAAGCCCCCUGCGGGCACAACGCCGUCCCCCGAAUACAGUGGCGGUCCCGCCGCAGCUUCCAUUGCGUAGUAGCUAACACCUCGCAACUGGAGAGCGGCGCGGCCACGCCGUAAAACACCCAACUUCUGAAUGUUGACCUCGAAUCAGGUAGGAAUACCCGCUGAACUUAAGCAUAUCAAUAAGCGGAGGA
rnacentral:misc_RNA from 1 species